rnacentral:tRNA from 2 species
GUGGAUAUAGCUCAAUAGGUAGAGCGUCUGUAUGUGGCACAGUAGGUUCUCAGUUCAAAUCUGGGUAUCCUCC